UAGUCCACGCCGUAAACUAUGGAUACUCGUUGUUGGCGAUAUACUGUCAGUGACCAAGCGAAAGCGUUAAGUAUCCCACCUGGGAAGUACGACCGCAAGGUUGAAACUCAAAGGAAUUGACGGGGGCCCGCACAAGCGGUGGAGCAUGUGGUUUAAUUCGAUGAUACGCGAGGAACCUUACCAGGGCUUAAAUGUAGAUUGACAGGGCUAGAGAUAGCUUUUCCUUCGGGCAAUUUACAAGGUGCUGCAUGGUUGUCGUCAGCUCGUGCCGUGAGGUGUCAGGUUAAGUCCUAUAACGAGCGCAACCCCUGUUGUUAGUUGCCAGCGAGUAAUGUCGGGAACUCUAACAAGACUGCCGGUGCAAACCGUGAGGAAGGUGGGGAUGACGUCAAAUCAUCACGGCCCUUACGUCCUGGGCCACACACGUGCUACAAUGGUAGGGACAGAGAGCAGCCACUAUGUGAAUAGGAGCGAAUCUAUAAACCCUAUCUCAGUUCGGAUCGGAGU
rnacentral:rRNA from 1 species